ACUCAAUCUGAUCUGUAGAGGUUAAACAACACAACUCAAUCUGAUCUGUAGAGGUAAAACAACACAACUCAAUCUGAUCUGUUGAGGUGAAACAACACAACUCAAUCUGAUCUGUAGAGGUAAAACAACACAACUCAAUCUGAUCUGUAGAGGAGGUGAAACAACACA